UGUCUAUCCUCCCACUCGUACGGUGAGUGCGGCCGCCGGCGGCCCCGGGCCGGCCCAGCGGCGCUGCGUGCGCGAGAACUGCGCCUUCUACGGGCGCGCGGAGACCGAGCACUUCUGCUCGUGCUGCUACCGCGAGGAGCUGCGGCGGCGGCGCGAGGCGCGCGCGGCCCGGCCCUGAGCGCCUGCCCGGCCCGGGAGUCCUUUUCAUUCUGUCGGUGUCUUUUUUACACGCCCUGGUCCACCGGAAGGCGGCGCCGCCUCUGUCAGUGCCGUGUGUGUUGGUCAAACGUUCCUAAUGGUGCCUGAACCUACACUGACGCCACUCAGGGAGCGGUCGCUUGCGUGCGCUUGGUGGCACCCAGGGUUGAGACGCGCAGCCUGGAGCUGGGUGGCGCCUUCUCCAGGGCCCCCACCCGCUUUCCAGCCCGGGUCUCCGGAGAGCAGGUACCUGGCGCCCGCUGAUGCUCUAAGGGUCCCUGUGGUCUUUGGAGAACACUCCUCGGCUCCAUUUCCUUAAGCAGAACCCCCGCGCCCAGCCUCCGGCUCAGCCACACUGACACUGCCAUCCACGCCGCGGGCGACCGCAGACGGGCACCGGACAACCUACCUCGCAGAGCGCCCAGAGCGUUGUGGUGGCGCCUGGUGCCUGGCAGCUCAGGUGACUGGAGCUUUCCAAAGACAUCCUGGGUCCAGAACGCUAGGUUCUGUCCUGACAAUUCGGAUAGGCCCACGUAGGAGCAAAUAUGACAGCCCACUCACAUUUUCCCCUUUAAGGACACUGCCAGAGGGAACAAUCUCCACGUGGCCCUUGGCAGGCUGUACCACAUCGGUAUCCCGGGAAGCAGGCAAGGUCGCUGUGCAAGCCUUGGGAGCCUGCUCUGCGACCCGGCCCAGCCUCUGUGCAUAGCAAAGCUGCUGAGAGAGUGGAAAGAGAGGAAAUCCAUCCCACCCCACCUGCAUCCAUCUGGGUUCAACCAGGUGACGGGGUGCACUGUGACUGGGUGCCCCCCACAAGCUAGAACUGGCCCUGCCUCUGGCUCCAUAAUACAUCAUGGAAGCAGCCAAGCUCUGAGUGGGCUCUCUUUUGGUGCCUCUUACAUUUCUUGAGGAAAAUUAAGGGAAAAAAAUGUGUCCUUAGCUCCCCCUGUCUUGAGCAGCAAUAUACCGCCCUUCCGAGAUUACCUCUGGAGACAGCCGUUCCCAACCAAGGACUCUAGGCGCUGACCCAGCCGUGCUAAGGAAAGAGCUUGUCCCCAGGGGUACGGAAAAGAUGGGUGCAACCCUCCUUCACCAGAGCGCACGUCCACACCCCUGAAAGCCCAAGCAAGGAGAAAGCACCUGGCUUUGCAGUCAGGUAUCCUGAGAAACCGUGGGAGGGCGGGACUUGUCUCCCUGGGCACUGGCUUCUCUUCCAGGAAGCCCCAAAAGCUAAAAAGCAAAAAUGGGGAGGGAAUUUGUUUUUUUUUUUUUUACUUGUUUGAAAAGUUACAAUAAAAUAACUGAGUAUCUCCCGUGAGUAAUUUCUUUUUUGUUUUUAAUUAUUCCACAGCCUAUCGAGUUUCCA
ensembl:lincRNA